rnacentral:rRNA from 1 species
AGCAGCCGCGGUAAUUCCAGCUCCAAUAGCGUAUAUUAAAGUUGUUGCAGUUAAAAAGCUCGUAGUUGAAUUUCGGAGUUCUACCGUCGGUCGGGCUACCAAGUCUGUACUGGUGUGUAGAAUUCCUACCUUCUGGGGAACCAUCAUGUUAUUAAUUUAGCGUGGUGGGAAACCAGGACCUUUACCUUGAAAAAAUUAGAGUGUUCAAAGCAGGCUUAUGUCUGAAUACAUUAGCAUGGAAUAAUAGAAUAGGACGGUGGUCCUGUUUUGUUGGUUUCUGAAUCACCGUAAUGAUUAAUAGGGAUAGUUGGGGGCAUUAGUAUUCAAUUGUCAGAGGUGAAAUUCUUGGAUUUAUUGAAGACUAACUUCUGCGAAAGCAUUUGCCAAGGAUGUUUUCAUUAAUCAAGAACGAAAGUUAGGGGAUCGAAGACGAUCAGAUACCGCCGUAGUCUUAACCAUAAACUAUGCCGACUAGGGAUCGGACGAUGUUAAAUUUUAUUGACUCGUUCGGCGCCUUACG